CUUGGAAAUGCAUGUGCUUU
rnacentral:miRNA from 1 species